UACGGGGGGAGCAAGCGUUGUUCGGAUUUACUGGGCGUAAAGGGCGCGUAGGCGGCGCCGCAAGUCGACUGUGAAAUCUCCGGGCUUAACCCGGAAAGGUCAGCCGAUACUGCGGGGCUAGAGUGCAGAAGGGGCAACUGGAAUUCUCGGUGUAGCGGUGAAAUGCGUAGAUAUCGAGAGGAACACCUGCGGCGAAGGCGGGUGCUGGGCUGACACUGACGCUGAUGCGCGAAAGCUAGGGGAGCGAACGGG
rnacentral:rRNA from 1 species